AAUAGAUACCCGGGUAGUCCUUGCCUUAAACGAUGCAUACUAGAUGUAGGCGGGCUCAACCCCUCCUGUAUCGGAGCUAACGCAUUAAGUAUGCCGCCUGAGGAGUACGCUCGCAAGGGUGAAACUCAAAAGAAUUGACGGGGGCCCGCACAAGCAGUGGAGCAUGUGGUUUAAUUCGAUGCAACGCGAAGAACCUUACCUGGGCUCGAAAUGUAGAGGACGAUGGCAGAGAUGUCAUUUCCCGUAAGGGUCUCUAUAUAGGUGCUGCAUGGCUGUCGUCAGCUCGUGCCGUGAGGUGUUUGGUUAAGUCCAGCAACGAGCGCAACCCUUAUCGUUAGUUGCCAGCGCGUAAAGGCGGGAACUCUAACGAGACUGCCCGGGUUAACCGGGAGGAAGGUGAGGAUGACGUCAAGUCCGCAUGGCCUUUAUGUCCAGGGCUACACACGUGCUACAAUGGUCGGUACAGAAGGCAGCAAAACCGCAAGGUGAAGCAAAUCCUGAAAAACCGAUCUCAGUUCAGAUUGU
rnacentral:rRNA from 1 species